rnacentral:lncRNA from 1 species
CCGGGGUCCAGCGCGUGUCCGGUCCUGCGGCGGCGGGGUCGCCGAAAUGUCCCGGCUGGCAGGGUGGUGCUGAAUGCUCAAGUUCGUGUUUUUCUGCGAAUUCUGCAGAUGAGGGCCAGCUUCCUGCGCAUGCUCAGUAGCCAUCUGCAAAGCCUUUCGCUCAGGGUGUGCACAGGGAGGCAGCCGCAGAGUGGGGGCCGUGCAGUGAAUCCAACCUCGGAUUAUUUUUUUGCUCCAAUGGUGUGCUAGAACUUCUCUGCUGGACUCCCAGACUUCCACCAAGGCACUCCUGUCCAUGGGUGAAUGUCAUGAUCAGUGUUGUUUGGUGGGAAUGUGAUAGAAAACUCAUUCUGCCAUUGUGCUGACAUCUAUUAUGUCUAUUUUUUAUUAAACUCAUUUUGUUCAUAUCCUGUUUUCCUGAUUUUGUUUAAUUGUCACUCUGUGUUCUCUUGCAUCCCAUUGAACUUCUUUACAAUGAUGAUUUUGAAUUUUUUGUCAGGCGCUC